rnacentral:rRNA from 1 species
AUGGAUGACCAUGACAAUACUAGCUUCCCACUCUCCGAUUUCGGUCUUGGGGAUAUGGAGUAUAGUCUCUACCCUAGUAGCACCGAUCACAGUACCAUGCCCCCACCCGAGCAACAUGCCUAUACCAUGCCCCCACCCGAGCAACAUGCCUAUACCGAUCAUCACACUCUCGAACCCCAUACCGAUCCUAGUGCCGAAGCCGAUGGUCACACCAAUUCGAGUAGUGGGACGGGUUCCUCCACCACCAUUGGUGUAAAGCAAAGAGGUCGUCGUAGAACCUCCGUGGUGUGGGAAUCAUUCGAUGAAGAAAUCCCCAUGGUGGACGGUGUCCGGAGGGUGGUUGCAAGGUGCAAAAGGUGCAAGAAGGAGUAUACUGGAGAAGCCAAGGGAGGAACCGGCCACCUAAAGAGGCAUGUGGAAAGCCACACCAAGGCGGAUGAAAAGAGCGCGUCGGGCUCGGCAGCUGUGCAAACGCAGCUCUCCUUCAAUCCUGACGCACAUAGUGGUCCAAACAUUGCUGAAGCUGUACUCAAAGUUGUGAAUGAUCUUAAUCUUGCCGACAAGCAAAUUCCACUGUUGUAUGCAUUUGCAUUUAUCUUGGAUCCUAGAGCUAAACUUGAAGGGUAUCGUAGUGCACUCAAUGUACUAUCUGCAUCCCUAAGUUUAGAUUAUACUGACGACUUCAAUAAGGCUCGUGAGAAGAUUUUUGAAGUUUUUGCUAAGUAUGAGGGAAAAUAUGCCGGAGUUCGAAUGCAACGACCUCCACCAGCACCUACUGCAAGUAAAAACAGAGGAGCAUGGAGCAAGAUCUUUGGUUCUUCAUCCUCCUCGACCGCCGGAAGCUCUUCCACGUCAACAUUUGUGCUUCAAGGUGGCGGGGAGUUAGCGAAGUACCUCAACAGUGACAAAGUCAUGUACGAUUUAGAUAGUGAGGAAGACUUCAACUUACUACAGUGGUGGCAAGAACACAAGCUUACAUUUCCGGUGCUCUCCAUAUUAGCACGUGAUGUGUUAUCGGUGCCUGUUUCUAGGGUGUCAUCGGAGUCUGCUUUCAGCCUAGCUGGAAGAAUAAUUGAGGAGAGAAGAACUAGUCUCGCCCCUGAUAUGGUGAGAACACUGAUGUCCGUCAAAGAUGGGGAGUUAUCAAGAAGGAGAGCGCAACACACUGCAGAAAACACAGAACUACUUGCCAUGUUUGAAGAAAUGAACUUUGAAGAAGACCCGGAAGAUUAG